AGUAUUGCUGAGUACAAAUGUGCAUUUUAUUCAGAAUGGUCAUUUUUUAAAGGCAUCUAUUGUAGCUGAUUCACUAACAUCCAGGGGUUCUUGCCAUACACACAGCACAGAUUUUUUUGAUUAUGUAGAUUUUUUUUUCCUAUUGCAGUUUCAUAUGCAAAGCAUGCAUCAGCCACAUCCAUGCUAUCUCCUAAAGCAGUCAUUCUGAAACCCAAUCUGGGGACAGUGCAGACUAAAUAAAAUUUCAUUUUGAUUUGGCCUCCCGCUGAGAAUGGGACUGCUUUGUUUCAGCCGACAGAACCAGCAAGCCAGAAAGGUGUUGAAUACACAAAAACUGACUUAACGGACAAUUGUGAUGAAAUUGGAAGAGGGACAGCAUCUGCACUACUUCCAUUUUCAGAACAAAGAAUUUGACUUUCAGACAUGAAGGAUCUGGAGGAGUUCAUAUUACACAUUUGUCUGUGUACAGUACACAUAUCAUGAAUUCAGUGAGAGAUAAAAGAAGCAAUACAGUUGGGAUGUUCAAGCUUUCAAAGCCUGCCUUCACAUUAAGCAAGAAAUGCCUCUUAAAACAUAUAUUAUGGGACCAGAUGAACAUGUCCUUCAGACUUGGAGAAUUAUUUAAAAUAUUCCAGUAGAUGAAGAUUUGGAUUUGGCUUGCUUGAUGCUGGACGAUUAAUGAAGGAAGCCCUAACUGGACAAAUGUUGGUCUCCUGAGACAAUGUGUUGUUGAUAACAGGUCUGAUUUGAGCAAGUCUAGUCAAAUUCAAUUUUAAUACUAUUUAAAGGCACACACAAGGCACUUAUCACUGAGUUUGGGCUGAGUUGUUUUUGAAGUCUCUUGUUCUACCAAAGUUUAUUCCCUUUAAGUAUUAAGAAAGAGUACCAAAACCACAUAUCAUUCUGCUGCAGAAAUGCAUAUUUUGCUUUAUAUUGUUAAAUUUUGCUCAGUGUUUGUCAUGUUCUUUCAUACUGACUCAGACUCAGGUAUGUAACUCAUCACUGUAUGACUGCUCCUGUGGAGAAAUUACUGCACUCUGAUUUGUGUGAACCUUAAAAAUUAAUGAGUUAAAGAAGAUAUAAGAAAGUAUGGCAAUCAGUUCUCAGUUUAGUGAGGGUAGUCUUUUUUAAAUAAUCCUUAGUUAAUCCUUAGACUAAAAGUUGUAGGGUUAACCCUUGUGUAGGAUUUUUUCAAUUAACUGUGACUAGGUCAUUAAUUUUCAUGAAGUAUGAAUCACUUUCCACUGCACUACCAAGUCAAGAUAAGUAUCAAACAUCAAAUCACUGUCUUUAGUGGAUCAUUGCUUGGAAUGUGAAAUUCAUCUUGCACCUCAGUCCCAGCUCUGCUUGAAGAAGAUUAAAGUUCUCCCAUCCCACUAGAAAACUGGACCUCCAGCAUGUUUCCCUUCUGCAUCAAGAUGAAGCAGUGAUAUCUAGAAGUUUUAAAAUAAAAGAGGUAAUUAUAGGAAAAGCUUUUUCUCUCAAAGUGUGGUCAAGCACUGGAAUGGCCACCUCCCAAGGAGGUGGUGGAGUCACCUGGCAGUGUUCAUGAGGCGUCUGGAUGAGGAGCUACAAGAGACGUUUUAGUAGCGUAGUGGUAGUAGUGAAUGGACACCUGGACUAGAUGAUCUUACAGGUCCCUUCCAACCUUGUGAUUCUAUGAAUCUAUGACUAUGUGAUGAUUGAGGUGCUGCCCUUAAGUACGUUGAAACUCUCACUUCCUGCCAAUCAACCUUGUAUGCUACAGGUGUGAAGUCUCACCCAGAAGAGUUUAGAGUACUUUCCUUCUUUGGAGAGCUCUCAAUUUCUAAAAAAUAGGUAAAACAGCAAAGAGGGACUUGCAUCCACACGCCUUACACCCUUUGUAAAAGUCCAGCCUGUCUUUCUUCCUUUGUUUCAAAAAGGGGCUAUUUAAAGAGAGACUAACACCCUGGAAUUCUCUUCUCAGCAUGAAGUUGACAAUAUUUGAUCAAAAGAAAUUAAUAAUCCAGUUCUUAUGUUUUGCAGUCAUAGAAGUUACGCUCUAAAAUGUAACAACCUCAGAUAUGAGGAUGCUAUGAGGACACACCAAGUCAGUUCUCUUUCCCACUCCAGGACAUACAGCCUUAAUAUCACUGCCACCUUGCAGGGAUGCCCUUUAACCACACCGUCUGAAUACUCUCUCUCAAAUAAAGACACGCCACAGUUUCAGAAACAAUUUAAAGAUUUAACAUCAGGAGAAAACAAAAAGGGAAUUCAAACAUCCUUCAAGCCAAGAUAUAUUAUUGUUAAUACAAUUUAAUCAGUUUAAAAUUAGUAUAGAUAGUGCAAACAGUCUGAUCUUUAUAGCUUUGUGCACUUCUAGAUCAAUGGCUUCUACACAUUUUCCAAACAUUUCUGUAGAAAGACAAGACUACAGUAGAAACACAAAGCUCUGUGGGAUGGUUGCUUCCCAAAGUUGUGUCCUCCUCACACCCCUGCAAUGAAUCUCCAGCAGAGUUGAUUGCUGGGAGUUAGACCCCUGAGGUACACGAGCGCUAUCCUUUCUGGAUUAAAGUUACCAUGUAAAGGACACAGUCAGGAGAUCUGUUUCUCAAUACUGUGCCUACUUAAGGCUCCUGAAGGUGGGAUUAAUUAUGUGUGAUUAAUUAAAUCAUGAGUCAUGACCUCCUUUUUUUUCCUGCCACAUUACUUAUAAACAGGACAAUCAGUGAAGUUAAGUGGUAUAGGAAGUAGAUUUAGAGGCAAUAAAAAGAAAUGGGUUGCGUUGCAUAUGGUCAGUCUACAAAAUUUGCUGGCACAGAUGAAGAUCUGACAAAUAGAGCUGUUUGGAGCAGUAGCUGCUAAUGCUGUUACAAUAACUGAUGGGACCAGUCCUGUAUUACUGGGAUUUCUGGGUGCAGUGGGAAUGCAGAAUUGAGACUUGCUUGGCUAAUAAAUUAAGAACAAGCGCUCCAUGUGCUGGCAAGUCAGACAUGAAUGCUCUCCAUGGACAACAUCACUGUACUAUUAGCUUGAUCUAUGACUUGCCAUUUCAUGGUUUGGUUAUUUGUUUAUUUCUCUGCCUUUUUAAUUCCUCUGGAAAAUACAGUAUUUGCUCUCACUGUUGACUGAAUGACCAGACUUGAGCAAAAGAUAUAGCAUUCUUCUUCUCUGACCUUUAUAUCAAAAUUGAUUAACAAUAACUCUUUUGCAGAAAAGGACUGAAAAUAAGAGGUGGAUUUUCAUCUUCAAUGAACUCUAGUUACCAAAGUGAAAACCAGCUAAUUUUGAUGGGGCAACUGACCACCUUCUCAGCAAUAUCUGAGUAUACACUCCCUGUUGAAAUGGCAAAGUGUUGCUGCAUUCAUAGAUAAGAGCAAGCCUCUUAGCUGUGAAUGUGAAGAGAUGAAGCAGGCAAAAAUGAAGAAAACUGAAGAGAAGCAUGAAUAGCUUUGCUGCCACUAUAGUUUAUGACACUGCAUUGGGUCCCAAUUAAGGAUCAGUGAGUGAAUAGGUGUGUAAGACAGAAACAUCUUUAUUCAACGAUGAACAAAUGUUUCAGAGGAAAUAAUUCUUUUUAAAGCAUGCAAAAUACUUUCUCAAACAUCGCCUAAUGACAGUACUAGAGUAGGAGCUUAAUUUCAUCUUCUGAUUUCAGACCUUUACAUUGGAACAGUACUAUGGACAGAUCCAAAUAAUAAUGUUCUUCAUCUUAUCAAGUGCUGCCUCAGUAUUAGUACUGGCAUUUUUCUGUUAAAGUUACUCACAUGAGAGGAAUCACUGAGUUACAAAGGAUCAUCUUCUAUUCCUUCCUUCUGUACUUAAACCAGACUUGGAUAUUUGAAUGUUCAUGCAAAUUUUGGCAUCUUUCAUAGUUGUGCACUUUGCACUAAAAGCCACUUUGCUAAUUGUAGAGGUAAAAGAUAUCAUCACCUUUGUUUAACCAUGAAAGUGCUGAUUUUCAAAUUACUUGAAGUUUUAAUUAUUGUGAUUAUAAUUCAGUGCUGCUUCUGUGACAUUUCACAUUCAGAAGUUACUUCAGUGUAAACCGUUUGAGAUAACAGGCAGAAAUAAAUAGCUUUGUCUCUAUAUUCAAAGUAUCUGGAUGAUAUAUUGAAAAUUGAGAGACCAGGAACAUCCUUUGCUGUGGUUUCCUUCCAUGGAUGUCCACGCUACAUUUCCAUUCUCCUCUACAUUGCAAAGCACAGGCACCACUUCCUUCACAAGCUGGGAUACAGAGGCCUUAGUUAAAAGGCAUACAUUUCUGCCUAAUUUGUGGUGCACUUCGUAGAAAAUGUGAGGGCACGUCUGAAAUAGCUGCUUUGUCUUCCAGUCCUUUGUUUACGCAGGGCAAGGAGAUGUCCUUGAUCUAGCAGCCAGUAACACAACUUACCUUCCUUCACAUCUGGCCCUGGUGGAUGAAUGUAGACAUAAGCUGGAUCAUUCAAUCAGCCAUCAACACAAAAUGACUUUUCUCAGCAUUAAGUUUUGGUAUUAAUGCCAGAUACAGGAGAGGAUUGAAAAGUGAUUAGAAAAAAAAAAUACUAAAUGAAUUCACACUUCACAGAACUUUCAAUUUCUUUCUGAAAAAGAAGAGAACGGAAUGGACUAGAAGAGGUAGGAGGAGAAGUGAACACAGUGGAAAAAUAGUGGCAAAAAUCUAACAUUAAAUAUUUCCUUUAAUUGAAGUCAGAGGUAUACAUUAUAUUCAACCAAACAUCCAAAUCUUCCACCACAGGUCAGGACUAAGGCCCAGAUGACUUCAUUUUUCAUUUCAUUUAUCUCCAUAGAAAUGAACCAGCCCAUUAUUCCCAGUUUAUUAAAUAAUGUAUUAACACUGCUAAUAUAGUAGGCAAACAACAUUGGUUUGUCUGAACACUGUAAUAUUUUGCUGUAAACAUAUAAAUACAGUAUUCAUUUACCCUGUACAUGUUCCCAAUGUACUUUAAAAUAAACCAAGUAAUUUCACAGGAGAACUUUGACCAAGCCUAACCUAACACAAUUGAAACAAUGAGCUCAAUAC